UCGAAACCUGCCCAGCAGAGCGACCCGUGAACAUGUUCAACCUCGUGGGUGUUGGGGCGUUGCUCGGUGCCUCGUGUGCCUGCCCGCCCCUCUCCCAGGCCGGGGGAGCGCCCACUCGUGGGCUGUUUCCGCGGCUAACCAACGAACCCCGGCGCUUAAAUGCGUCAAGGAAUAUAAACUUUUAGUGUGUGCCCUCCUAUCGUCCGGUUAGCCGGGCGUUGGAGCGGUGCCAUGUCUUAACAAUAAACGACUCUCGGCAACGGAUAUCUCGGCUCUCGCAUCGAUGAAGAACGUAGCGAAAUGCGAUACUUGGUGUGAAUUGCAGAAUCCCGUGAACCAUCGAGUUUUUGAACGCAAGUUGCGCCCGAAGCUUCGGCUGAGGGCACGUCUGCCUGGGCGUCACGCAUCGCGUCUCCCCCAAAAUCCACCUCGGUGGAGGGGAAGGAGGAUGGUUUCCCGCGACUCACCGGUCGCGGCUGGCCUAAAAUUGGAGCCCUCGGCAUCGGUAUGCUGCGGCGAUAGGUGGUGAACAAGGCCUCGGCCAAGCAAGCAACCCGUCGCGCAUGCCGUGCCAAGUUGGGCUCGCAGGACCCUUGGUCGUUGCCCCUGAGGCAACCAAACCGUUGCGACCC
rnacentral:rRNA from 1 species